GUGCUUACUUUGGCAGCACAUAUACUAAAAUUGGAAUGACAGAGAUUAACCUGGUCCUUGAGCACGGAUGAUACACAAAACCGUGACGUGUUCCAUACUGAA
rnacentral:snRNA from 1 species